AAUCAACGCUGGCGGCGUGCCUAACACAUGCAAGUCGAACGAGAAAGGGCCCGCAAGGGCCUGAGUACAGUGGCGAACGGGUGAGUAACACGUGACUAACCUGCCCUGAAGUGGGGAAUAACCUCGGGAAACCGGGCUAAUACCGCAUAACAUCCUUGAGUGCAACUCUUGAGGAUCAAACGGGUAACUGGCUUUAGGAGGGGUCGCGGCGUGAUUAGUCUAGUUGGUAGGGUAAGUGGCCGUACCAAGGCGNGUGAGUCAGUAGCCGGCCCUGAGAGGGCGGCACGGCCACACUGGAAC
rnacentral:rRNA from 1 species